UGGCAACCCAUGUGGAAUGCGGGAAGCUCGCUGUUUGCGAAGAUGAUGCCGAAGUGGCGAGGUACUUUUGCUGACCAGGGCGCAGAUGAGCCAAGCAGUGCAAGCAAAGCCUUGUUUGGUUCAGCGCAAGGCUGCCGUCAUUCUCGCCUCUUCAGACGGUUCUCUGACGCGUUGCCAAGUGCUGGAGCAUGCCGGGACCACAGUCAAUAACACCGACAAGCGGGGCAGUCUGGCGGUCGAGAAGGGCCUCUCGUUCCGGGACGUUCUCACCGGUGACAGCCAAACGACCUGGGCGCCCACCACACGGCUUGCUACGAGUACGCUGGCUUCAAUGAGUCCGGCAAUCACUCCGCAGGCUCCUACGAGUGCCCCGACUGCCACCAGACUGCCACCAUCGAACGAAUGGCUGCGGCUCUUGCUGUACAUGACUCCACCGCACCGAGGAUAUUGUCGGCCAGUGGUGCACACACAUUGGUACCUUCAGGACUCGCUUCUGGAACGGCGGCAGCGGAGCAAUUUGAAAACGGAAGCAUCGAAGGCAGCGCUACUUCUGAGUAUUGCCGGUGACGACGUGUUGAACGUUUUCAACAACUUCCAGUUCGUGCCGAUGUGGACAAAAAGGACUACAGCACCAUGAAUGAUCAGUCCAGACAGGCAGUAUGAGCUGAACGAUUUCCUGGAUCGAUUCCCAUCACAUGCGUGAAGUUGUCUUAGCAUGUCCACCAAGCCAUCUUGUUCUUCGCAGCAGUUACUUUGCCAAAGAGACCAAAACACUCAACCUUACUCUCACAGUUUUAACUUGAUUGCAGGUGAGAGGCAGCUCCAGACGUGCACGUUCGAAGUACUUUUUGCCCAGGGAUGGCCGCUUUUCAAGAUUUCCUCGCACUGGGCUUGUCGGUGGUUUCUGCGACAGACAUCCUGCAGUGGCUGGUGUAUGCAUCAGCACUGGCUAAGCUUGUCCGCUCGCCCACCUGAAAGAUCAAGGUAGUUGGGCCACGCGUGCAUCACCGGGAGGGCCAAGCUGGUACCCGGCCUUCUGUGAGACCAGGGGUGUUACGGCCGAAAAAGUGAACUGUUUUCAAGAUUCCACCGCUCAGACACGAUCGAAGGCCUGCUACCUUUUCGGUGUUGGUGUUGUAAUUCUAUAAAAUAAAGUUCUCGCAGCAUAUAAUAGACCUUGACAUGAUCAAAAGUUAUCGACAUUGACUGCAACCUAAUAAAGGGUAACAGCCUCAUGAUGAAGCAUGUGUGCUGGAAAAAACUUAG